CAAUGUUUGAUUACAUCAUUCACAUUUCCCCAAUCGAACCAGACUUUCUCGUCAAACAAUUGGAAUAAAGUGUACUGAACGGGGCUAGUGUGAAUACAGCCCUAUACAACUGCUUUUCUUUAUCCCUGAUUAUUUUUUACCAGAGUUCGCUAUAACCAAACCGAGAUCCAGGCACACAAUCAGUGUUUCAACAGCUUUGUAAAGGACGUAAAAACUCUGUGUGUGAAUAACAAGGUUCUGGUGACUGGCACAGAAAGUACAUGUAGAAACAAACACGCAGGCUAAAUGUCCGUCUUAGCUACCAGCUAAGACGGACAUGUUAGCUUAGCUAAUUUAGCUAGUUCGGCAGUAAGUACUACUAUUAAAUAUCGCUGAUAUUUAUCUUAGUAUUACACAGAGGUGGGUAGAGUACUCAAAAAUUGUUGUCGAGAAAUAACUUUGAUGUACUUAAUAUUGCUUAGAAGUUAGAUCAGAAUGAAGCGAGAGCUAGUUCUAAUAUGUGGCUUGUUUGUAGUUGUCAUAGCAACUCCAUAGCAACCGCUACGGCCGUUAGUAACGGUACCUUCCAAGAUGGCUGUCAGCUACAGAGCGUGAGACCCGUUCAGCAGGCUAGCAAAGAUCGUCAAAAAGCUAAAAACUCCUGGAUGGAAGCUGCAGAGUUGCUCUCCCUGGAAGAGGCUGUCUGCAGAAAGGUGUGGCGCUUUCAUUUCAUUUUUUAAAAGCAAAACGGAAGAAGUAGGGACGUAGUGGGGAGUUUAAAAUGAAAAGCAUGCUUACACAACCAGAAGCCCCUGAGAGUUGGAUGACAUGAUGACCCUGUUGCUCGGUGCGGAAGACUUUUGGCCGCUGCUCUCUGGAUCUGGAGGCGUAAUUCCUGUCCGUCUGGCAGUCGUUUUGACCGCCAUGCAUUUGUCUUCUGACAUAUUCUGGCUUUGUCCACUGCAGUCCAGCUUAGGUGAAUAAUCCUUUGAAAGAUUUGAAUAAGGUUUAAUUUAAAGCCACAUAACUGAACUUUGCUGUAAAAGUCACGAACGUCGGAGCGGAUCAAACACCUGGAAGUGAGGCCAGUCGGUCGGCAUGCCGGGCCCUGAGAGCUGAAUAAAGCUCCGUAUUGAAAACCAUUCAUCGUCUGUCGGCGCAGCGGCCGGAGCGAUGGCAGCUCACCUCUCGUUGG